GACGAACGCUGGCGGCGUGCUUAACACAUGCAAGUCGAACGGAAAGGCCCUGCUUUUGUGGGGUGCUCGAGUGGCGAACGGGUGAGUAACACGUGAGUAACCUGCCCUUGACUUUGGGAUAACUUCAGGAAACUGGGGCUAAUACCGGAUAGGAGCUCCUGCUGCAUGGUGGGGGUUGGAAAGUUUCGGCGGUUGGGGAUGGACUCGCGGCUUAUCAGCUUGUUGGUGGGGUAGUGGCUUACCAAGGCUUUGACGGGUAGCCGGCCUGAGAGGGUGACCGGCCACAUUGGGACUGAGAUACGGCCCAGACUCCUACGGGAGGCAGCAGUGGAAAAUAUUGCACAAUGGGCGGAAGCCUGAUGCAGCAACGCCGCGUGCGGGAUGACGGCCUUCGGGUUGUAAACCGCUUUCGCCUGUGACGAAGCGUGAGUGACGGUAAUGGGUAAAGAAGCACCGGCUAACUACGUG
rnacentral:rRNA from 1 species